rnacentral:lncRNA from 1 species
CACAGAGAGUGUGCAGGGUGGUCCUUGUCCCUGCCCAAGCUGCAAGAGGCUCUGCGAAGGUCCCUCCUGCCCCUGUCCACCUUGCACAGUCCUAGCCGGGGGAGGAGGGGAGAAAUCUGGCGUGCCAGGAGCUGGCAACUGCCCAGCCCUUCCUGGAUGUGGACUCCCCAGGGCUGAAGCUGGGAUCCCGGCCAGCCAGGUGACCCCCACGCUCUGGAUGUCUCUGCUCUGUUCCUUCCCCGAGCCCCUGCCCCGGCUCCCCGCCAAAGCAACCCUGCCCACUCAGGCUUCAUCCUGCACAAUAAACUCCGGAAGCAAGUCAGU